UACGUAGGUGACCAGCGUUGUCCGGAUUUACUGGGCGUAAAGAGCGCGCAGGCGGUCGUUCAAGUCGAGUGUGAAAGCCCCCGGCUCAACUGGGGAGGGUCACUCGAUACUGAUCGACUGGAAGGCAGGAGAGGGAAACGGAAUUCCCGGUGUAGUGGUGAAAUGCGUAGAUAUCGGGAGGAACACCAGUGGCGAAGGCGGCUUCCUGGCCUGUUCUUGACGCUGAGGCGCGAAAGCUAGGGGAGCAAACGGG
rnacentral:rRNA from 1 species